rnacentral:rRNA from 1 species
ACUCCUACGGGAGGCAGCAGUGGGGAAUAUUGCACGAAAUGGGCGCAAGCCUGAUGCAGCCAUGCCGCGUGUGUGAAGAAGGGCCUUCGGGUUGAUAAAGCACUUUUCAGUCGAUGAGGAAGGUAGUGUAGUUAAUAGCUGCAUUAUUUGACGUUAGCGACAGAAGAAGCACCGGCUAACUCCGUGCCAGCAGCCGCGGUAAUACGGAGGGUGCGAGCGUUAAUCGGAAUU